UCCCUUCAACUUCUCUCAUCCGAUCGUCGGGGACUCAACGCUUCCGGUCAUCGCACGUAUG
rnacentral:lncRNA from 1 species